CUAAUACAUGCAAGUCGAACGAAUCUCUUUUAGAGAUGAGUGGCGAACGGGUGAGUAAUACAUAGGUAACCUGCCCCUGUGCGGGGGAUAACAGGAGGAAACUCCUGCUAAUACCGCAUAGCCAUGAGCACCGCAUGGAGCUCAUGCCAAAUAUCCUUUCGGGGAUAGCGCAGGGAUGGACCUAUGGCGCAUUAGCUGGUUGGCGGGGCAACGGCCCACCAAGGCAACGAUGCGUAGCCGGCCUGAGAGGGCGGACGGCCACAUUGGGACUGAGACACGGCCCAGACUCCUACGGGAGGCAGCAGUAGGGAAUUUUCGGCAAUGGGGGAAACCCUGACCGAGCAACGCCGCGUGAGCGAAGAAGGCCUUCGGGUCGUAAAGCUCUGUUGUAAAGGAAGAACGGCGCAUACAGGAAAUGGUAUGCGAGUGACGGUACUUUACCAGAAAGCCACGGCUAACUACGUGCCAGCAGCCGCGGUAAUACGUAGGUGGCGAGCGUUAUCCGGAAUCAUUGGGCGUAAAGAGGGAGCAGGCGGCCGCAAGGGUCUGUGGUGAAAGACCGAAGCUAAACUUCGGUAAGCCAUGGAAACCGGGCGGCUAGAGUGCGGAAGAGGAUCGUGGAAUUCCAUGUGUAGCGGUGAAAUGCGUAGAUAUAUGGAGGAACACCAGUGGCGAAGGCGACGGUCUGGGCCGCAACUGACGCUCAUUCCCGAAAGCGUGGGGAGCAAAUAGGAUUAGAUACCCUAGUAGUCCACGCCGUAAACGAUGGUCACUAAGUGUCGGGGGUCAAACCCCGGUGCUGCAGUCAACGCAAUAAGUGACCCGCCUGAGUAGUACGUUCGCAAGAAUGAAACUCAAAGGAAUUGACG
rnacentral:rRNA from 1 species